rnacentral:lncRNA from 1 species
UACAAAAGCAAACAUUGCUAACCUGUACUGCUAUAGAAAAUCCAAGAUUCGGACGCCCAAAACCCAUAACCGAGCACCCAGAACUUCCAGCCUGCACAAACAGCACCACGGUUCCUUCGUCUGACGAUCCGCUACACCGCUAUCCUGUUCCGGUGAAUCCAACCGACCACCACCCACGUGUCAAUAUGAUUGAUAUUCACGAAGUGAACUUUCAGACC